rnacentral:rRNA from 1 species
AUUGAACGCUGGCGGCAUGCUUUACACAUGCAAGUCGGACGAGUGGCGAACGGGUGAGUAACAUAUCGGAACGUACCGAGUAAUGGGGGAUAACUAAUAGAAAGAUUAGCUAAUACCGCAUAUUAUUCGAGCGGCCGAUAUCUGAUAAGCUGGAUGGUGGGGUAAAGGCCUACCAAGGCGACGAUCAGUAGCGGGGCUGAGAGGAUGAUCCGCCACACUGGGACUGUGACGCUGCCCAGACUCCUACGGGAGGCAGCAGUAGGGAAUUUUGGACCAAGAGCGCAAGCCUGAUCCAGCCCUGCCGCGUGUCUGAAUAAGGCCUUCGGGUUGUGAAGGACUUUUGUCAGGGCAGCGGUGCCUGAAGAUGAAGCACCGGCUAACUACGUGCCAGCAGCCGCGGUAAUAC